GAUGAACGCUGGCGGCGGGCCUAAUACAUGCAAGUCGAGCGAACAGACGAGGAGCUUGCUCCUCUGACGUUAGCGGCGGACGGGUGAUUAACCCGUGUAUACCCUACCUAUAAGACUGGGAUAACUUCGGUAAACCUGAGCUAAUACCGGAUCAUAUAUUGAACGUCAUGGUUCAAUAGUGAAAGCCGAUAUUGCUGUCACUUCUAGAUGGAUCCGCGCCGCAUUAGCUAGUUGGUAAGGUAACGGCUUACCAAGGCAACGAUGCGUAGCCGACCUGAGAGGGUGAUCGGCCACACUGGAACUGAGACACGGUCCAGACUCCUACGGGAGGCAGCAGUAGGGAAUAUUCGGCAAUGGGCGAAAGCCUGACGGAGCAAUGCCGCGUGUGUGAUGAAGGUCUUCGGAUUGUAAAGCUCUGUUAUCAGGGAAGAACAACUGUGUAAGUAAAUAUGCACGUGUUGACGGUACCGAAUCAGAAAGCAACGGCUAACUACGUG
rnacentral:rRNA from 1 species